rnacentral:rRNA from 1 species
CGCGUAGGCGGGGAGGUAAGUCGGGUGUGAAAUCCCUCGGCCUAACCCGAGGAACUGCGCCCGAGACUGCUUCUCUUGAGUCCCGGAGAGGAAGAUGGAAUUCCCGGUGUAGCGGUGAAAUGUGUAGAGAUCGGGAGGAACACCGGUGGCGAAGGCGGUCUUCUGGACGGUGACUGACGCUGAGGCGCGAAAGCGUGGGGAGCAAACGG